rnacentral:SRP_RNA from 1 species
CUAUGUCGAUCGGGCGUCCGCGCUAAGCUCGGCGUCAAUAUGGGCAUUCCAGGGGAGCCCGGAGUGGCCAGGUUGUCCAAGGAGGAACGCACCGGGCGAGGCCCGAAAGGGAGCAGCCAAAAGUUCCCACGUUGAUCAGUAGCGGGAUAGCGCCUGUGAAUAGGCGGAGCGUUGCAGCCCAGUCAAUAUCGCGGGACCCAAUCCUUU